AACUUUGUUAUAGUGUAUUAUACGAUUUUAUAAACUUUUGCUUAUGUGGUAUGAUUAUAUAAAGAUUUGAGACAAUUUUAAUAGUUUUACAACUUAUAGGGUUUUUAUGUUUAUGAGAAUACAUACAACAUAAAAAAAAGUCCAAAUUGCAUGUCCAAACAAAACUUUAAUUUCACCUCAUGAUUUCAUAUUACUCCCUCCGCCC
rnacentral:lncRNA from 1 species